rnacentral:rRNA from 1 species
GGGGGGGGGGGGGGGGGGGGGGGGCGCGGGCGGGGCGAGCGGGGGCGGCGGGGGUGGGGGCGCCCGUGGGCGUAGCGCGGGGGGGCCUGCCCGUGGGUGCGGCGGCGCUCGCCGGCGGGGGUGCCAAUACCGGGUCAGUUCUUCGGACCAAAGAUUUAUUGCCUGUGGAUGGGCCCGCGUUGGAUUCGCUAGUUGGUAGGGUAAAAGCCUACCAAGGCGACGCUCCAUAGCUGGUCUGCGAGGAUGAUCAGCCAAACGGGGAAUGAGAAACGGCCCAGACUCCUACGGGAGGCAGCAGUGGGGAAUAUUGGACAAUGGGCGAAAGCCUGAUCCAGCAAUGCCGCGUGAGUGAUGAAGGCCUUAGGGUUGUAAAGCUCUUUUACCCGGGAUGAUAAUGACAGUACCGGGAGAAUAAACUCCGGCUAACUCCGU